rnacentral:lncRNA from 1 species
AAAUUUGGUUCAUGAAUUUGGUUCAUAGUUCAUGGAUAUGGUUCGUGGUUCAUGAACUUGGUUUAUGAGUUUUGGUUCAUAGGAUUUGGUUUAUGACUUUAUGGAUUUGGUAUAUGAACUUGGUUUAUGAACUUGGUUUAUUUGGUUCAUAAACUUGUGUUAUAACUCAUAGGGUUUGAUGUAUGAUUCAUGAUAUUUGGUUUAUGAACUUGGGUAUGGUUCAUGGAUUUGGUUUAUGGUUUAUGGACUUGGGUGUGGUUCAGAGACUUGGUUUAUGGUUUAUGGAUUUGGUGUACGAACUUGGUUUAUGGAUUUGGUUUACGAUUUAUGGGGUUUGGUUUAUGGUUCAUGAUGUUUGGUGUAUAGGAUUUAGUUCAUGAACUUGAGUAUGGUUUAUGGGAUUUGGUGUAUGGUUUAUGGACUUGGAUGUGGUUCAGGGACUUAGUUUAUGGUUUAUGGAUUUUGUGUAUGAACUUGGUUUAUGGAUUUGGUUUAUGGUUUAUGAGCUUUUAUGUAAUAUACCGAAUUUUUAAUAUAAAAGUAAGUGUAAAUAAAAAUAGUGUAAGAUACUAUUUUUAUUGGACUUAGAGAAAUAAAAUAUAAGUCGGAAAUGACUUAUGUUGAAAUUGGAAUGGAAACAGAAUAUUUAGAAUUUUCUAUAAGAAACGGGGCUGAUAUUUUAGCAGAAAAUUUACAGUGUCAGAAAAUUAUAAAAAUUGAAGAAUAUGUCGGAAUUAUUUUUAUGAUGCGAGAUUUAAAGUUUCAUGUCAUUCCGACACCCGAAAAGUGAAAAAUAAAAUCUGACUGCUAUUUGCUAAAGAUUCGGGUCGGUAGAACUUUCGGUAAUAAAAAAUAGUCCAAACUGAAAAGUUAAGAUAUCGUUCUUCUUAUUAAUUUUAACCGAGCUGACAGUCAAAUUUGAGAGCAAACGAAUAUUCAGAAGGGCUCCGACGAGAAGUAUGAGAUUCUGAAUUGCGAAACUGAAAAUUGUAUUAGUGUUGGGGGACCUAAUUGUAAUUGCAAUUAUAGAUUUUGGGAGGGGUUUAUUUG